UUGGUUAGUCUUCCCGAGACGUCCGGCUUCUGCAGAAGUUGCAGUAGUGGGUAAGCCGUUGGGAUCGUGACCGUGUGAGCGUGAAAGUACGGUUUCAGCCUUCGGACCGCCGAGACCACCUCCAGGGCUAGCUUCUCGAUUUCCGGAUACCUCUCUUCCGCUCCUACUAACGAACGGGAGUGGUAGUAUACCGGCCUUUGCGCGCCUCCCGCUUCUGAGAUGA
rnacentral:lncRNA from 1 species